UACAGAGGGUGCGAGCGUUAAUCGGAAUUACUGGGCGUAAAGCGCGCGUAGGCGGCUUUGCAAGUCGAGUGUGAAAUCCCCAGGCUUAACCUGGGAACUGCUCUCGAGACUGCAUAGCUAGAGUAUGGGAGAGGGAAGUGGAAUUUCAGGUGUAGCGGUGAAAUGCGUAGAUAUCUGAAGGAACAUCAGUGGCGAAAGCGACUUCCUGGACCAAUACUGACGCUCAUGCACGAAAGCGUGGGGAGCAAACAGG
rnacentral:rRNA from 1 species